AUACGGAGGGUGCAAGCGUUGUUCGGAAUCACUGGGCGUAAAGGGCGCGCAGGCGGUUUGGUAAGUCAGAUGUGAAAGCCCACGGCUCAACCGUGGAAGUGCAUUUGAAACUGUCAGACUUGAGUACUAGAGGGGAAAGUGGAAUUCCCGGUGUAGAGGUGAAAUUCGUAGAUAUCGGGAGGAAUACCGGUGGCGAAGGCGACUUUCUGGCUAGAUACUGACGCUGAGGCGCGAAAGCGUGGGGAGCAAACAGGAUUAGAUACCCGGGUAGUCC
rnacentral:rRNA from 1 species